rnacentral:rRNA from 1 species
AUUGAACGCUGGCGGCAGGCCUAACACAUGCACGUCGAGCGGAGCGGCGGACGGGUGAGUAAUGCCUAGGAAUCUGCCUGGUAGUGGGGGAGAACGUCCGGAAACGGGCGCUAAUACCGCAUACUAUCAGAUGAGCCUAGGUCGGAUUAGCUAGUGGGUGGGGUAAAGGCCUACCAAGGCGACGAUCCGUAACUGGUCUGAGAGGAUGAUCAGCCAGACGGGAAUUGAGACAGGUUCCAGACUCCUCCGGGAGCCAGCAGUGGGGAAUAUUGGACAAUGGGCGAAGUCCUGAUCCAGCCAUGCGGCGUGAGUGAAGAAGGUCUUCGGAUGGUAAGGCACUUUAAGUUGGGAGGCGUUACCAACAGAAUAAGCACCGGCUAACUUCGUGCCAGCAGCCGCGGUAAUAC